rnacentral:rRNA from 1 species
UACGUAGGGGCAAGCGUUGUCCGGAAUUAUUGGGCGUAAAGAGCGUGUAGGCGGUCCGGUAAGUCGGCUGUGAAAGUCCAGGGCUCAACCCUGGGAUGCCGGUCGAUACUGCCGGACUAGAGUUCGGAAGAGGCGACUGGAAUUCCCGGUGUAGCGGUGAAAUGCGUAGAGAUCAGGAGGAACACCCAUGGCGAAGGCAGCUCUCUGGUCGACCUCUGACGCUGAGACGCGAAAGCGUGGGGAGCGAACGGG